UACGUAGGGUGCAAGCGUUGUCCGGAAUUAUUGGGCGUAAAGAGCUCGUAGGCGGUCUGUCGCGUCGGCUGUGAAAACCCGGGGCUCAACCCCGGGCCUGCAGUCGAUACGGGCAGACUAGAGUGCGGUAGGGGGAGACUGGAAUUCCUGGUGUAGCGGUGAAAUGCGCAGAUAUCAGGAGGAACACCGGUGGCGAAGGCGGGUCUCUGGGCAGUAACUGACGCUGAGGAGCGAAAGCGUGGGGAGCGAACAGG
rnacentral:rRNA from 1 species